GUCCUAGCUGUAAACGGUGCGCAUUUGCUGUAAACGGAAUCGACCCCGUUUGUGGCGAAGCUAACGCGAUAAAUGCGCCGCCUGGGAAGUACGGUCGCAAGAUUAAAACUCAAAGAAAUUGACGGGGGCCUGCACAAGCGGUGGAGUAUGUGGCUUAAUUCGAUGCAACGCGAAUAACCUUACCUGGCCUUGACAUGCAUGUGGUAGAACCAUGAAAGUGGGACGACCCCGCAAGGGGAGCAUGCACAGGUGCUGCAUUGCUGUCGU
rnacentral:rRNA from 1 species